rnacentral:lncRNA from 1 species
CUCAAAAUAGUUAAAAGAAGUAGUAAGGAUGUUUUAUCACAAGAUAUGCGUGUAAAACCAAGUAAUUAGACAAUGAAAUGAACAAAAUUCAAGUAAAUUUUAAGAAAAAAUGAGUUCAAACAAAAUCUGGAGUUAGUGCAUGAGACAAAGUAUAAAAGACUUUCCCCAUUAAUAUUCAAAAGAUAAUCACAAGAAGCAACAACAAUUCUAGAAGCACACAUACUAACUCUCAAAAUUAGAAGAGUCCAGAAAGUAGAAUGCAACAAGUCAUCUAAAUAAAAAUCUAGCAAACCAUUGAAAUUACCAUGCAAGCCGCUGAAAUUUCCCAAAUUCACGACAAUUCUACAUCACAUUGAACCAAAAUCCAACACUUUUCACAUAGUAAAACCUAAGCAAAAUGAGGGAUUUUACAUUUCUAUUUCACCUAGAGCAGUAGUUAACAGCUACCGUUACUAAUACAACAAAAAUUAAUAUUCAAAACAAAAAAAAAAAAAAUCAUCUUUAUAAUCAAACAACUACCACCAAACAGCAGAUACUGAAACCUAGGGAAUUCACAAAAUUAAUCCAUAAAUGGACAAAACACAAAAAUUUAUUAUUUCUUUAAUCACUGGCUAAAAAACGGGCGACGAAUCUAAAAUGGGUGGCGGUUGGACUCUUUCUUGGCAGCGGACUCAACAACCUCGGUAGUGGGUUUAACUUCAGCUUCGGCUUCGGGUUUAACUUCCAGAUCUAAAACAAACGGUGCUUUUGUAUUUGGGAGAACUUGUAUAGAGUUUUGGUGAAGGAAAAGAGCAGAGCUGAGUUUCAAUUUUAAAAGAAAAAGCAGAGGAGCAUGAUGGAGAUUUUGGUAGCCGAAGAGAGUAAGGAUAAAGGAUAAAGUCGAAAGAGAGAGUGAGAGAGUGAUGGGGAUUAUGUUUCCUCUCAUUUUUUUUAUUUUUUAUUAUCUUUUAACAAUUAAAAAAUAUUAAAUUACCGAGAGAGAGAGAGAAGGCUCUCUCAACUUUCUCUCAGCAUUCUUAAUACCUAGCAUC